ACUCCUACGGGAGGCAGCAGUGGGGAAUAUUGCACAAUGGGGAAACCCUGAUGCAGCCAUGCCGCGUGUGUGAAGAAGGCCUUCGGUUGUAAAGCACUUCAGUAGGGAGGAAGGUAGUGUAGUUAACACCUGCAUUAUUUGUACGUUACCUACAGAAGAAGCACCGGCUAACUCCGUGCCAGCAGCCGCGGUAAUACGGAGGGGUGCGAGCGUUAAUCGGAAUUACUGGGCGUAAAGCGCAUGCAGGCGGCCUGUUAAGUCAGAUGUGAAAGCCCGGGGGCUUAACCUCGGAAUUGCAUUUGAAACUGGCAGGCUAGAGUCUUGUAGAGGGGGUAGAAUUUCAGGUGUAGCGGUGAAAUGCGUAGAGAUCUGAAGG
rnacentral:rRNA from 1 species